CAGACAGUGGAAGCAAGGAUGUGUCAUCUGGAAAAAAUACAGGGAUGCUGCCUGGAUUUGCAGGGAUGGUAUUAGGAAAGCAAAGACACAGAUGGAGCUGAGCUUGGCAAGGGAUGUAAACAUUAACAAGAAGGGACUGUACAGGUACACUGGUGAGAAGAGACAGGCCAAAGUGAGCACAUCUCCUCUGAUAAAUGAGAAAGGAGAAAUGGCUACAACAAAGAUGGAGAAUGCUGAAGUACUCAACAAGUUCUUUGCCUCAGACUUUACUGGAAGUCAGGCUUCUUGUGUCAGUUUCUUGAACUAAACGUUUCUAAACCUCUAGGUGAUGGCUGGGUGAGUAAAAUCCCUCCCACUGCAAAAGAAGAGCAAGUCAGAGUGCUUCAUGAGACUGAAUGUGUGCAAGCCAAUGGGGCCCAAUGACAGGCAUCCCAGCAUCUUGAAGGCAGUGGCUUAUGUAGUUACCAAGCUGCUCUCCAUAUUUGAUCCCAAUCCCAGAUAUGUCUACAGUCUGGAAGAUAAACAACUUGAGAGCAACCCUGCAGAGAACUACAAAGUGCCUUAAUUAUAUCAAGACAGAAAUGAAUAGUCCAUGAUUUAGCAACUGCAGUACAACUAGGAGAAAUGAUGCAUUGAAGGUAGAUGGGACUUGAGCUAGUAGGUGACGACAGAAAAUUUGCACUGGAGGACCAAGAUACCAUACUUUUCCAGCCUAGAAAUGGACCAUUACAGAAGGGAAUGCAGAUGAACAUGGCUGAACUCAGUGCUGCAGUUUACAGAAGUAUCUGCUCACAGCACAGAAUGACACAUGGCUUGUCCUACAUCACAGACAACACUAAGCAGUGUAUGGGAACAGUAGACAAGGAAAAGAAUUGUAGAAUCAUUGAAUCGCCAAAGCUGAAAAAGAUCUCCAAGACCAUCCAGUCCAACUUUCCACCUACCACCAGUAUUUCCCACUAAACCAUGUCCAUCAAUACAACAUCCAAAUGUUUCUUGAACACUUCCAGGGACAGUGAUCUAACCACCUCCUUGGGCAGCCCAUUUCAGUGCCUAACCACUCCUUUGGAGAAUAAAUUUUUCCUAUUAUCCAACCUGAACCUCCCUUGGCACAAAAGAACAAAUAACAAGUGGUUUGGUUUUUCUGUCACAGGUUGUUGGUGUGGUUAAUAUUCUCUGCUUCAGUACUCUGCGUUUACAACUCUUUUGCAAUGAGGUCACACUGACAAGCCACAAACACUGCUUGUUCCUUUUAAGAAAUAGUGAUUGCUAGACGCAAAUGAAUUCAGGGAUGGCUGAGAGGUGAUCUUGCAAGACUUCAAAAUAUCAAAGUGUGUCAUUCUGAUAUGCCUGAUAAAAGUGUUAUUUAAAUAUCCAUGGAAACCAACCUUCACAUUCAACUCAGGGGCUUUGGUCAUAAAUAAAAUACUGGACUGUGAAGGGAUUUCAAAGAUAUACCUUGUCUUUUUGAUCUCUGCAGUUAAUUCUUUCUCUCAACUUGGUCCUUAGAAAGGCGAUUGAAAGUGCAGCUAAGCUAAACGUUCCGUGGGAGUGCUCUGAUCUGUUUACUGCUUUGAUGUUCUCUGUAGGCUACUGCUUCCUGUGAACCAGGAUUCCAUGGCAAAAUAUAUGUGAUUCUCCAUCUCUUUUUUUAAAAGAUUUAAUAUGCAUUUCUCUCUGCUUGUAUCUAUAUUUGCACAUGACGGGUGAGAAGCAGACACAUGGUCCUCUAUUUCCAGAGAGGUGUUCAAAAAAAGACACCAAAAUCUGUCAGAUAUCUUCAAAGCAAGUUUGGAAUUCUGUGUUACCUUUAUCAGGAUCCUCCCCAAUUUUUUAGUUGUAUAAACAGUAUUUAAGCCUUGAUGACCAUUUAACUAAAUUAAGCAAACAAACAAACAAACAAACACAGAAUUGUUGGUAUUACAUUUGAAUUGAAGGACACAAACAAUGCAUAUUCUUUCUUUGCUGAUUUUGAACCAGAAUAUUUGAACCAGAUUUUGAACCAGAUUAUUUUCCUGCCAGUGGAUAAAAGUUACAGUAUUACUUAGAACAGCCUUUUUAACAUCAUCAUUAUAAAAAUGUUACCUUUAUAACUUGUUUAUCAAUUGACUAUUUUGUAAAACUGCAGUUGGCUUAUCUGAUUGGUAAUGCUAAAAUAUCCUUCCAAUGUUUUAAAUUUUCACCAAAAAUAUCUCGGGAUGGUACGAUUCUAUGUAGUUAUGCAGUGUUUUGAGAAAAUCUUUCUUAUUUGGAUGUUACUGCUUAGCUUCAUAAUUAUACGAAACCUCAUAUCAGUGUUUUCAAAGUAUUUGUCCCUUUUUUUUUUUUUUUU
ensembl:lncRNA